ACGAUGGUCCGUGCUGAGUUCCUGGGGCUGCUACUGCUCUGGUUUUUAGGUGUGAGAUGUGAUAUCCAGAUGACCCAGUCACCAUCCACGCUGUCUGCAUCUCUGGGAGAAAGUGUCACCAUCACUUGUCAUGCCAGCCAGAAUAUUAACAGUUGGUUAUCCUGGCACCAACAGAAACCAGGGCAUGCUCCUAAUCUCUUGAUCUAUAAAACAUCCAACUUGCAUACGGGAGUCCCAUCGAGGUUCAGUGGCAGUGGAUCAGGGACUCAUUAUUCUCUCACCAUCAGCAACUUGCAGCCUGAAGAUACUGCCACUUAUUAUUGUCAGCAGGAUCAAAGUGUUCCUUUCACAGUGAUACAAGUCAUAACAAAAACCUCCCACAAGUGCAAUGGAGUAAGAAAAAGUUGCCUCAGAUGCUCCUUGUAG